CCCNGGUGAGUGAGUGGCUGAAGGCUCUGAGGAUGGAGCGGUACCAGGAGGACUUUGACCGGGCCCACCUGGACUCGUUGGACCGAGUCAGCCACCUGACCAUGGAUGAUGUCCAGCAUCUGGGCGUCAACCUGCUGGGACACCAGAGGAAGAUCGCCAACGCGGCCCAGCAGCUCAGGGCCUAUCUGACCCAGGGCCAGGUGGAGGUAUGACCUCUGACCCCAGAGUGACCUGUGCUUUUCUUCCACUUCCUUCAACACACUAACAUUCACUCAAACAAAACUAGCUCCGUGUGGCUAACCAGGUUUGGACAGAGGUCAGAGGUCAGAGGUGGUCCACUGAAGGACAUGUUCUGGACAUCAAAGAUGUUGCUGUUGUUUGCCUCACCCGUCUGUAGCCUCACCUCCCCCAUCUCCACCACCCUCCCUUGAACUUGUCAAUUUACCCUUCACCUCAGAGAGUACUUUUAGUAUAAAAGUAUAAAAGUAUUCUUAACUGAAAUAUUUAUCUUUCUUUAAAAAGAACAGCGUGAAGACAAUCAGAGCCUUUUUUAUUUUAGAAAAGGUAAAUGUUUGGGAUGAACCAAAACUGAAAACUGAACGAAAAGAUUGAGUCAGUUCUCAUCGGUACCAGGUCAUUGAUGACUGACUGUGAACUGGACCUCAAUCAAACCAAGGAGAUUGAAUAAAUUAAUAUGAAUGUUU